GCUGGGCGCGGUGGCGCAUGCCUAUAAUCCCAUUGGCUGGGGAGGCUGAGGCAGGAGGAUCCAGAGUUCAAAGCCAGCCUCAGCAAUUUUAGCAAGGGCCUAAAACUCAGAGAGACUCUGUCUCUA
rnacentral:sRNA from 1 species